GACGAACGCUGGCGGCGUGCUUAACACAUGCAAGUCGAGCGGAAAGGCCCUUCGGGGUACUCGAGCGGCGAACGGGUGAGUAACACGUGAGUAACCUGCCCUUCACUUUGGGAUAACCCUCGGAAACGGGGGCUAAUACCGGAUACGACACACCAGCGCAUGUUGUGUGUGUGGAAAGUUUUUCGGUGGGGGAGUGGGCUCGCGGCCUAUCAGCUUGUUGGGUGGGGUGAUGGCCUACCAAGGCGACGACGGGAGCCGGCCUGAGAGGGCGACCGGCCACACUGGGACUGAGACACGGCCCAGACUCCUACGGGA
rnacentral:rRNA from 1 species